UACGGGAGGCAGCAGUGGGGAAUAUUGCACAAUGGGCGCAAGCCUGAUGCAGCCAUGCCGCGUGUAUGAAGAAGGCCUUCGGGUUGUAAAGUACUUUCAGUCGUGAGGAAGGUGUUAAGGUUAAUAACCUUAGCAAUUGACGUUAGCGACAGAAGAAGCACCGGCUAACUCCGUGCCAGCAGCCGCGGUAAUACGGAGGGUGCGAGCGUUAAUCGGAAUUACUGGGCGUAAAGGGCACGCAGGCGGUUAAUUAAGUUGGAUGUGAAAUCCCCGGGCUUAACCUGGGAAUGGCAUUCAAGCUGGUUAGCUAGAGUCUUGUAGAGGGGGUAGAAUUCCAUGUGUAGCGGUGAAAUGCGUAGAGAUGUGGAGGAAUACCGGUGGCGAAGGCGGCCCCUGGCAAAGACUGACGCUCAUGUGCGAAAGCGUGGGGAGCAAACAGGGAUUAGAUACC
rnacentral:rRNA from 1 species